rfam:Triticum aestivum genome assembly, contig: Triticum_aestivum_CS42_TGACv1_scaffold_622118_7DS
AACCUACUCCCUCCGUUUGGAAUUACUUGUCACAAAAAUAGAUAAAAAUGGAUGUAUCUACAGCUAAAAUACAUCUAGAUACAUUCAUUUCUUGGACGAGUAAUUCCGAACGAAGGGAAUACUAG